UUUCAGAGCUGUCAUCUCUCCCUCUAACUUUUGGAGUCUACCAAGUAAGGUAGACACAUCCAAACUAUCAAAACUCACAGGUGGAAGCCUAUUCAAAUCCUGGGCAACAAACAUGGGAGCCCUGUCACCACAUUCAAAAAGCAAUUUGAUCACUGCUUUAAUUUAAUGUCCUGUGAAGGGCCCUUUGUAUGUGGGUAUGGCGAUUUCACCAUACUCCGCGUGCAACAUCUCGGAAAGCGGAUGAGGGUUAUCGGUCGUAUUGCUCACAGAACUAAUGCGUGGACGGUUCGCAGGACUACCUGUUACAUUGAGACCUGUUAAAUAGUCCAGUAACUUAAGCCUUUUCACGUCUACUAAUAAACGGAAAUUGUGUAGGAAAUCUGCACUGAGUAUUGUAGUUGCUAAAAUCUGCCGGACAUUAAUGGGCAAUCUUUGGAGGAAUAGUUAGUUUAAUAUUCCUUUCUCUAACUUCUGCUCACCUAGAAGUUGUUCCAUGCAUCGUAGAAGCUGCGAGGGCUUGCAAUCAACUCUUCUUCAGUUAGAAGGAGCUGAACUCUACGCUGUUCAGAAGCACAAACACGCGCUAUUAGGCUUUUUUUUACAGCAGAAUAUUGAUCAGUAGCUGGAGGAUUGACCAAAAUAUUGUGUAUUUCCUGGGCUACAUCUUGCGGAAGAGGGGCGAUGACAUGCGCAUAUUUCAUUGCUUCUUGAGUUAUGGUGCGUGGCGCGAACUGCGCCUCAGCUUGAGCGGACCAGACCAGAGGGUCACUUCUCCAAAAUGGUGGGAGCUUAAUCGCGACCGCUUGUACAUGGUGUGCAAAUGCGGGGACGGGUGGUGCUCCAUCAGGACCAGCUUCAUUAUCGCUUAGCAUAUCGAAGCGAAUUAUACAUUUA